CCUGGUUGAUUCUGCCAGUAGUCAUAUGCUUGUCUCAAAGAUUAAGCCAUGCAUGUCUAAGUAUAAGCAAUUAUACCGUGAAACUGCGAAUGGCUCAUUAAAUCAGUUAUCGUUUAUUUGAUAGUACCUUACCACUUGGAUAGCUGUGGUAAUUCUAGAGCUAAUACAUGCUAAAAACCCUGACUUCAGAAGGGGUGUGUUUAUUAGAUAAAAAACCAAUGCCCUUUUGGGGCUCUUUGGUGAUUCAUGAUAACCUAACGGAUCGCAUGGCCUUGCGCCGGCGACGGUUCAUUCAAAUUUCUGCCCUAUCAACUUUCGAUGGUAAGGUAUUGGCUUACCAUGGUUUCAACGGGUAACGGGGAAUUAGGGUUCGAUUCCGGAGAGGGAGCCUGAGAAACGGCUACCACAUCCAAGGAAGGCAGCAGGCGCGCAAAUUACCCAAUCCCGACACGGGGAGGUAGUGACAAUAAAUACUGAUAUAGGGCUCUUUUGGGUCUUGUAAUUGGAAUGAGUACAAUUUAAACCCCUUAACAAGGAACAAUUGGAGGGCAAGUCUGGUGRACAUACAGUAGAGUCCCAUAUCUUCUAGCGCCAGAGAUAGUCGGGAGGUCCUCUAGGGCUAUUACGCCGGCUAGUCAAGUACCUACUGAUAGAUGGGGAGGUACCAGAGAGACUAACUGGAUCGGGGAAGGCUAAGGCAUGUGCAGUGCAUAUGCUAUGCUAAUCCAGAGCAGAGCCAGUGUGGAGCRAUCCGCAUCGCGGCCUGUGUAGAGCACGGUAAGGUGUCGGCCAACUCUCUGAGUUGGCUUAAGGGACGUGCCAAUCCCAUCCGAAAGGGUGGCUGUCAGCARUAGCGCCCAUCACGCGAAGGCUGGCAGGUUCGAAUAAGAUGCCUAGCAUGGCAGCUAUUCGAAAUUACAAAAAGGUGGCCAGCAGCCGCGGUAAUUCCAGCUCCAAUAGCGUAU
rnacentral:rRNA from 1 species